GUGGGGAAUAUUGGACAAUGGGCGAAAGCCUGAUCCAGCCAUGCCGCGUGUGUGAAGAAGGUCUUCGGAUUGUAAAGCACUUUAAGUUGGGAGGAAGGGCAGUAAGUUAAUACCUUGCUGUUUUGACGUUACCGACAGAAUAAGCACCGGCUAACUUCGUGCCAGCAGCCGCGGUAAUACGAAGGGUGCAAGCGUUAAUCGGAAUUACUGGGCGUAAAGCGCGCGUAGGUGGUUUUGUAAGUUGGAGGUGAAAUCCCCGGGCUCAACCUGGGAACUGCAUCCAAAACUGCAUGACUAGAGUACGGUAGAGGGUAGUGGAAUUUCCUGUGUAGCGGUGAAAUGCGUAGAUAUAGGAAGGAACACCAGUGGCGAAGGCGACUACCUGGACUGAUACUGACACUGAGGUGCGAAAGCGUGGGGAGCAAACAGGAUUAGAUACCCUAGUAGUCC
rnacentral:rRNA from 1 species